AAAAGAAUUGCUAAUUGCAGAGUGCGCUUGCCCAGCUGAGGCAUUGGAGCAGGGCAUUUUGAUAGUGGCUGGAGGGCAGGCAGCUCAACCUCUAAACCCCCCUGGUCUGGGCACCAAGUCCUGUCCUGGGCACGGGACACAGUCCUCCAGCGAGACCAAACCCAGCUUCUCUACAGCACCAGGAAGAAGGCAAGCUGGGCCACCAGGGCGCGGCCCCAGGAAGGAAAAUCCUCCAUGGUCCUGUUGACAGAUGUGGUAUCAAAUGAAUUGUUCUCUGCUUAGACACGACUUUGAUAUUUAUUGGUUCAAAUUGCUCGGCUGACUCAGUCUUGCGGACUCUGAUUACACUGGACCUAUCCAAGAUCUGAGAUCAUCAACUCAUCUCAAAAUCCUUAAGCUGACCACAGCAGCAUCGUCCCUUUUGCAGUGUAAGUUCCCCUCCAGGUUUGCACAGCAUCUGCUGAAGUCUCCACUAGAAACUCAAUGGAAGGUCCCCACCGGAAACUGAAAGUCUCCUAGAGUGGCUUUGAGUUGCGGUUUCACCCUCCCUGCAGAUCCACAGGGGAGGCUGGGGCAGAUGGAAAAUACCAACUUGAUGGUCUGUGGCCACACCAUGCUGCUCCCCAAGGCCCCUCAGAAUUUCACUGCCCAAUAUGGUAGCGCCCAGCCUGAAACGUGGCCAGUGUGAAUUGAGAUGGGCUGGAAAUGCACCAGACUUCCAAGAGCUGGACAAAAACCAUAUACUUUCCAUCCAGCUGUUUGGCAUUGGAUACUGCUGCCUCUGCUUGACUUGAGAAUGUGUGAGAAAAGCUGUGUUUAGACAACUGAAAACCAUGAGCUUGAAAGUAGUGGGGGCACACUCUUGGAGACUCCAGUUGCUCACCAGCUUGGACAAACCACUGGACUCAAAUGAUCAGGUAGAAAUUCAUCACUGGAGAGAACACAGUGGAAUGGCUUCAGCGAAAACUCACUCUGAAGGUCUUCAGGGCAACUUUAAGACUUGCCCCUGGCCGGGCACAGUGGCUUAUGCCUAUAAUCCCAGCACUUUGGGAGGCCGAGGCGGGUGGAUCACCUGAGGUCAGGAGUUCAAGACCAGCCUGGCCAAUAUGGCGAAACCCUGUCUCUACUAAAAAUCCAAAAAAUUAGCCGGGCGUGGUCGUGGGCGCCUGUAAUCCCAGCAACUCGAGAGGCUGAGGCAGGAGAAUUGCCUGAACCCGGGAGGCAGAGUUUGAAGACAGCCGAGAUUGCACCACUGGGCAACAAGAGCAAAACUCCAUCUCAAAAAAAAAAAAAAAAAAAAAAAUACUUGCCCCGGCUUUUUGUGUGAUGGACUUUCUAUUUACAGACGUGAUAUUUAUCUAUGACUUUACUCAGAGUCUGGCUCAUAGACCAGAAGGACUGGUAUCUCCUGGAGCUUGCAGGAAAUGCAAAAUCUCAAACCCCUGUAUUAGUCAGGGUUCUCCAGAGAAGUAGAGCCAAUGGGAUAGAGACAGGGAUAGGGAUGAUAGAGAUGGAGAUAGAGGUAGAGAUCCAUUGAUUCCUCUGUUAAUAAAUUGGCUCAUGCAGUUGUGACAAUUUCGAAAUCUGCAAGGUAUGUCAGCAAGCUGGAGACCCAGGGAACAGUUGAUGUUGCACCUUGAGUACAAAGGCAGUGUGUCUGGAGCCAUAAUAUCUUCUUGUUAGGAAGACUUUGGUCUUUUCUCUUCUGGCCUUCAACUGCUUGGAGAAGGAACACAGGCUCAGACAUCAGUGCCAUAUCUGAAGACAUUCAGCUAAUAACAGGAUGGAGUCCAAUCUGAAACAACUGUCACGCUGAGCCUAAUUGCUGAAGAUGGUUGAAGGCACCAGGAGGCUGGAGUUUCCUGGAGGUGGUUUGUGGCCAACCGUCAAUUACUUGGGCUGCUGUGCAGUGGGGAUAGAAGGAUGAUUAGAAUCCACAGACAACCCAUUGGCCUUUGUUUACCAUUAACUUCUGUUUUCUCCACCAGCCAAGCUCCUCCAGACCCAGGAGAUGGCUCUUCCCUCUGUGUAGCACACUCUUUCCAGUCAAGGGGUCUUGCACUGCUAUUUCCCCUUCUGCUUUGCUUGGUUCAUUCUUACUGACCCUCCAAAUACUGAAGGAAUGAAUGGAGAAAUAAGUAAAUGAGAGAUGUGGCCAAGAGUCUCCAAGAGAGGAAAUUAAAAAAUCCUAUACCUGUGAGGAACUGGCCCACUUGCAAAAGGCGGACUCAUUUGUCACUGUGUUUGCUGGCUGCUCGCACCACACAGUUUCCAGCCUAGGCAUUAUUUCCAACCUCUUUUUCCAAAGGGUCUUUCUAAGGUACAGAAAAUGGACAUAAAAUCGCCCAACGUAGUUGAGAGGUAAGGAGUAAAAGCCGGAAUUUGAACUCCUAAUCUCCUGCCACGAUUUCAUGCUGCCUCUGGGUAAUCUCCCAGCACGUUGCUUAAUCAGCUGCUGAGUCAUUGAGAGCCGGCAGAACCAGCUUCCUGCUGAGGCAGAGUGGGAGGAGGCCCGUCUGGGAGCAGCACACUGAAGGAAGGGAGGAGGAGGUGAUGUUUGGCACAAUCGGAUUGGUUCCCAUGAGGUCCAGGGCUGCGGCUCCUACAGAAGGCACUUUUUGCAUAUGGUAGGCUUCACGGGGUGCAACCUCUGUGUUGUUAGGAGAACCUCGUGCUUGCUAUGAUGCUCUGCUGUCAUUAUCUUGAAAUUCUUAGUCACAUUAAAACACGGGAGCCUACAUGUUUAUUUUGCACUGGAUCCUGCAAAUUAGCCAGUCCUGGUACUGAGGGCAGGUCCCUGGGUGAGUCUCACACAGCCUCCAUCCUUUGGUAAAGCAGCUUUCCUGAUUUAGCAAAUGCCUUACCAGAAAGCCUUUUCCUUGAAGAUGCUUUAACUUUUGUCUUCCCUGGCAAAGCUGUUUCCUUAUGGUAAAGCACCCAGCUCAUAGCUGAUAUUCAAUCCAUGAAGUAGCUCUGUCAGCAGCUGUCAUCAUGAAGACUUUGCAGCCUGCGGGUGGUAGCAUUCUGAAUCGUCAGUCUGUCUCGCUCCUGUAGCAAAUGCACGAUCCGGGAAAGCAUGUCCCAAGCUUUGUUCUGGAGAAGAUUUCUCCAGCUAUCAGAUGGUGUCUGUCAUCACAAUAGCUUAGGAGAUGCUGCUCACUCCAUCCUCCUCACUAAGUGUCACAGUACACUUGGGUAUGUACAAGUCUCUGAGAAGUCCAGCAGCAAAGACACCUUUGUGUUUUGCUGAUUCUAGCCUUUCCUAGACUAGAAGUCUUUUUUUCUAGUCUAGGAAAAGACUGUGGAAUCUUUUCUUUUUUUUCCUGAUACACACAUUCACAUUCCGUGGAACAUUUAGGACGUGGUUAUCUGGUCCUAAAGUAGUAAAGGUGAAGAUGUUGUGGGAGGUGCAAGAAAGAGCAGCAAGGAGUAGAUGGGGCACACUGCAAAGUGCGAUCCCCACAUACCUAAGUUAGUAUCAAUUACUACUAACAAAACUCGGCCAAGACUCUUUUGCAUUCGUUUUGUUUCUCUCUUUUACCCUGAUUAUAUUAAGAAAUAUGACAGGCCUGUGACUCACUGAUUAGACCAUCUUAGUCACUUUGGGUUGUCCCAGCAACAGGAGACUUAACUCUGACCAUAGGUAAGGAGCCCAGAGGACAGGAGAGCAGGGAUUUCUGAGGAUUUAACAAAUGCUUAUAAACAAAUGAUAUCACUUUGAACAAAGUAAUCAAAGUAUCAAAUGCUAUAAACACCACAGUAGGGCAAUGUGUGAAUCAUACUUGUGGUGAGACAUACAUAGAUCAGCUGCAAAGAGGAACUCAAUUCUGCAGAACCUCAGCUGGAGUAACUGAUGUGAAACAUGGACAGGGAAAUGGAAGGAAGUCAGCGGACACGGAAACUCUAGGAACUGAACUUUGACAAGGAACGCCGUCCAUAAUCCCAAGUCCUAUGACUUCAUAGAGGAAAAAAACCCUAGUGGAGCAGAACAGGGCCUCAUAGAGGGGCUGGGGCCUCACUGAGGGCUGGGAAGUUUGAUAGGACUUCCCUUGCUGGUAAGGAACAAAACUGGGUCUCAGGUUCAGGUUUGUAAAGCUAAUUUCAUACAUUUGCAGCAGAUGCUGUCAGUGUCCCUCCCCAAGCCCCUCAGCACUCAGCAUUCAUAGACAUCCUCAUCUUGCAAGCACCUGAGUCUCUCUCUGUAAGGUUUCUGUUGGCCUCAGGGCAGACCAGGGUACCAGGGAGGGCAGACCAGGGUACCAGGGAGCACAGCCCUCAAAGAAAGAUGACAGGAGUUGGUGUAAAUCUCAUGGCUUUCAUGUUACUUAGGGGGACCAAUGCUGAGGCAUGCUUAGCAUGAUCCUCUGUGAGACUGGGCCUCAGGUGUCCGCUGCAGCCGCCUGUUCAUUAGUGUGACAUGCACGGGAUUCCUUCCGUAUCCUGGCCCCUUUCUCUACUUCCCAACCGUGCUUCCUGAGACAUACUCAAAUCCUUGUCUCACACUUGGCUUCUGGGAGAAUCCAACUGCAAAUGCUGUGUUUUAUUUUUUAUUUAUGUAUUUAAUUAUUUGGAGAUAGGGUCUCCCUCUGUCACCCAGGCUGGAGUAAAAUGGCACAAUCCUAGCUCACUGCAAUAUUAAACUCCUGGGCUCCAGUAAUCCUCAGCCUCCAGGAGCUGGAACUACAGUCGUGCACAGCAAUGCCAGCUAAAGUUUCCUUUAAAUUUUUUGUAGAGUCAAGAUCUCACUAUUUCAGUCAGGUCUUGAACUCCUUGCCUCCCAAAGUUCUGGGAUUACAGCACUUGGCCUCCCAAAGUGCUGGGAUUACAGGCGUGAGCCACUGCAUCUGGCUGUUUAUUCCAUUAAAAUGAUUGAAGGAGUCUCUUGCUUUGGGAAUUUUGCUCCCGUGGUGAGAACACUAUGGGAAUGACAUCUCAAGAAUAUGGCUCCUUCAAAUGAAUUUAAAAUGGUCUUUCUAUUUUUGUCCAGUGGUUACAAUAGCUGAUGGGCUCGAGGUAAGGAGAUGCUAAGCUGCCAUUCUCUCCUUCAACCCAUGGCAUUUACUGAGCUUCUAAAUCAGUCAGGCCCUGGGCUGGACCCUGGGCAUGCAGACUGAAUCAGAGCCUUCAGGACUAGCAGGAGAGACAGGUAUAUAUAGUGGCAAGGGCAAUAUUUAUUCACUCAUUCAUUCUUUUUCCUUUUUUAUGUGCCAAAUCUUUAAUGAGGGCCUACCUUGUACUCAGGAACACCAGGAAUAAACAGAAAACAAAAAGAUAUCAUUUCUGGACUCAGUUCACCAUCUAGAGAAAAAAAAAAAAAAAAAAAAAGACCUGAAAUGGACAAAUACAGUACUGUUUGACAAAUGUCACGUAAGAAGAAGCCCAUGAUACUGAGGAUGGUAUAGGAGGGGCCGUAUCCAGGUUGAAGGAGUCAAAUAUGACAGCUGCCGUGAGAAUUACAAUCAGAAAACCAUGACCCGGAUGCUUAUCCUAUUCAUUGCUUGAGCCUGAGAACACAAACACACAGGGUGUGGCUGAAAUUCCUCUGAAAUUGUAUUGAUUUGAGAAAACUGCAAUCUUGUGUUAAAAUGUGAAUCAUACACAAGGAUGCAAAACAGUUACCGCUGACCAUAAAUCUAGGCUAUCAGAAUGGAAUCUGAUGGCUUGUCUACCAGACUGCAUUGUGAAACCAAUCAAAUGGGAGAUAGACUCACCACUUACCAAGUACCUCUGAGACACCAGGCACCCUGUGGGGUGCCCUACUCAUCAUCUUGUUUAACCAGUUGAUUGGGAAUAGCUCCAUUUUACAGAGAAAGACUGUUAGGCAGCUUUCUAAGAUGGCCCUAAUUAUUCCUUCCUUCUGGUAAUCCCCUUCCUUUAAAUGUGGGCUACACUUAAUUACCUGCUUUUAACAAACAGAAUAUAGCAAAAGUGAUGGGAUGUCAGGAGACUGAAUCAGUAACCAAAAACCUCCAGACAAAGAAAAGCCCAGGGCCAGAGGGCUUCACUGGUAAAUUUACCAAACAUUUAAAGAAGAAUUAGCACCAGUCUUUCUCAAACUCCUCAACAAAUUGAAGAGGAGAGAACACUUCUAAAUACACUUUAUGAGGCCAGCAUUACCCUAACAUCAGAGCCAGACAAAGACACAAGAAAAGAAAACUACAGACUAAUAUUUCUAAUGAAUCUUGAUGCACAAAUCCUCAAAAAAGAAGAAAACAUACUAGCAAACAUAAUUCAGCCGCACAUUAAAAGGAUUAAGCACCAUGACAAAGUGGGAUUUAUUCUUAGUAUAAAAGGAUAUUUCAACGUAAAAAAGUCAAUGUAAUAUAUCACAUUAAUAGAAUGAUGAGAAAAAAUCCACAAGAUUAUCCCAAUUGAUGCAUUUAACAAAACUUAAUACUCUUUCAUGAAAAAACACUCAACAAACCAGGAAUACAUGAAACUACCCCAACAUAAGACAGUCCACAAAUGAAAAGCUCACAACCAACAUAAUACUCAUGGUGAAAAGCUGAAAGCUUCCUCUAAGAUCAGGAAUGAGACAAAAAUGUCCACUUUUGAAUCAACCUGUAUUCAACAUAGUAUAAGAAGUCCUCGCCAGAAUUUUCAGGAAAAAAAAAAAAGAAAGAAAAAAAAGCCAGUCAAAUUGAAAAGAAAGAAGAAAAAUUAUCUUUGCUCACAAAUGACAUGAACUUAUAAAACUCCUAGAAUUAAUAAAUGGAUGCUGCAAUGUUGAAGGAUACAAAAAUCAACACACAAAAAUCAGUUAUGUUUUUAUAUACUAACAAUGAAUGAGCCAAAAAUGAAAUUAAAACAAUUCCAUUUACAAUAGCAUCAGAAAGACUAAAAUACCUAACAAUAAACUUAACCAAGGAGGUAAAAUGCUUGAGUAUUUAGACACUAAAAAUUAUAAGGCCUGCACGGUGGUUCAUACCUGUAAUCCCAGCAUUUUGGGAGGCAGGUGGAUCACUUGAGGUUAGGAGUUUGAGACCAGCCUGGCC
rnacentral:lncRNA from 1 species